rnacentral:lncRNA from 1 species
CGAAGUCCAGCGGGCAGCCACCGUGUCCACGUCUGGGAGUGUGCCGGGACCUUCCUACCUCCUCUCGGUGUGAACAUUGCGGUGGACAGCACAGACGACCGGAGACAGACAGGUAGGUACCCACGGAGGAUUCCACCACAGAACAUCCUCCACACCCACCCAGUCCCCGCGCCCACGCUCUCACUCUGGGGCAAGGGAUUUCUUCCACAAGGAAGCAGUGCAGAGGCUUUCUUCCUCGGCUGCCUCAAGCCUCAGUGGGUAAAAAUCUCAUUUAGUGCCCCCAUACCCCCGGAUCCCUUCCCCCUUGUCAAGGGCUCCUCUUGGAAGGGCUGCCAACACCAAGUCUCAACUGGAUUCAGGAGGUCAAGUCCCAGGAUGCCCGGGAGGGAAGGGAAAGGAUCUGCUCAGCCACAGGUGCGAUGUCUCCCUUUCUCCAAACUGGGGGUGGGAGGGAGGGGGUGCGGGUGGUGGCGGUGGCUGGGAAAGCCGUUCUGGAGCUAGCGCUGGGCUCUCCUGCCAGCUGGAGUAAGAGGGUUGCAUGUGAGCUAAGCCCCGCGCUGCCGCUGGGUCUCUGGUGCCUUUCGCCCAGACUCUAGGUGUAGCCGACCUGUUGCCUGCGGGAAAGCGUCCCACAAGAUCUGAGAGCCAGGAGUCCGUGCUGAAGUCAGCCGCGAUCUUACGGGCGAGCAUCCCCAGAGUCCAGCGCCCACGGGAGGAAGACGUACACGGUGCCGGGAAAAGCAGCGGGUAACCAUCCCAGGACAACCAACCCCUUUUCUUACCCUUUGUGUCAUUAGUUGGUGGCCCAACGAACCCGGGGAAAGGGAGUGUGAGGGCUGGGGAAGUAGCUGAUGAAAAGGCGCAAACAGGGCAGAUAAAUCCCAGUCUUGCAUCUCCACUCACUGGGAUCCUGAAUGGAGCUCGGGAUCCAGCAGUAUUGGAGGUCCGUACAGCUUCAGCACCACUCAUUAGGCACCUUCAGAAGCUGGACAGCACCGGGGCCGCAGAGUACCAGAGGUCGGUUCCUGGGCUCUUCCCAAGACGCCAGGCCCAUGUCCACAAUUCCAGACUCCAUUCAACCGAGGCCAAGAGGGGAGCCCGCUGAAGACCCUCCUCACCUUGGACACACAUUCUGACGACAGCCUGGAGGAUGCCUGAACGUGAGUAUAGUCUCCUCGGUUUGUCUCCCCUUCAUUCUUGGGAAUACACAGACACCUGAGCAGGAUGCUGACCUGAAGGGCCACCUCCUUUCCCCACCUCCCACCCUGUGCUGAAUCCAACUGGGACCUUAGGCUCCAAUAAAAGACUGGAUUAGGGACUCU